rnacentral:rRNA from 1 species
CUCAUGACGAACGCUGGCGGCGUGCUUAACACAUGCAAGUCGAACGGAAAGGCCCUGCUUUUGUGGGGUGCUCGAGUGGCGAACGGGUGAGUAACACGUGAGUAACCUGCCCUUGACUUUGGGAUAACUUCAGGAAACUGGGGCUAAUACCGGAUAGGAGCUCCUGCUGCAUGGUGGGGGUUGGAAAGUUUCGGCGGUUGGGGAUGGACUCGCGGCUUAUCAGCUUGUUGGUGGGGUAGUGGCUUACCAAGGCUUUGACGGGUAGCCGGCCUGAGAGGGUGACCGGCCACAUUGGGACUGAGAUACGGCCCAGACUCCUACGGGAGGCAGCAGUGGGGAAUAUUGCACAAUGGGCGGAAGCCUGAUGCAGCAACGCCGCGUGCGGGAUGACGGCCUUCGGGUUGUAAACCGCUUUCGCCUGUGACGAAGCGUGAGUGACGGUAAUGGGUAAAGAAGCACCGGCUAACUACGUGCCAGCAGCCGCGGUGAUACGUAGGGUGCGAGCGUUGUCCGGAUUUAUUGGGCGUAGAGGGCUCGUAGGUGGUUGAUCGCGUCGGAAGUGUAAUCUUGGGGCUUAACCCUGAGCGUGCUUUCGAUACGGGUUGACUUGAGGAAGGUAGGGGAGAAUGGAAUUCCUGGUGGAGCGGUGGAAUGCGCAGAUAUCAGGAGGAACACCAGUGGCGAAGGCGGUUCUCUGGGCCUUUCCUGACGCUGAGGAGCGAAAGCGUGGGGAGCGAACAGGCUUAGAUACCCUGGUAGUCCACGCUGUAAACGGUGGGUACUAGGUGUGGGGUCCAUUCCACGGGUUCCGUGCCGUAGCUAACGCUUUAAGUACCCCGCCUGGGGAGUACGGCCGCAAGGCUAAAACUCAAAGGAAUUGACGGGGCCCCGCACAAGCGGCGGAGCAUGCGGAUUAAUUCGAUGCAACGCGUAGAACCUUACCUGGGUUUGACAUGGAUCGGGAGUGCUCAGAGAUGGGUGUGCCUCUUUUGGGGUCGGUUCACAGGUGGUGCAUGGCUGUCGUCAGCUCGUGUCGUGAGAUGUUGGGUUAAGUCCCGCAACGAGCGCAACCCUUGUUCACUGUUGCCAGCACGUUAUGGUGGGGACUCAGUGGAGACCGCCGGGGUCAACUCGGAGGAAGGUGGGGAUGACGUCAAGUCAUCAUGCCCCUUAUGUCCAGGGCUUCACGCAUGCUACAAUGGCUGGUACAGAGAGUGGCGAGCCUGUGAGGGUGAGCGAAUCUCGGAAAGCCGGUCUCAGUUCGGAUUGGGGUCUGCAACUCGACCUCAUGAAGUCGGAGUCGCUAGUAAUCGCAGAUCAGCAACGCUGCGGUGAAUACGUUCCCGGGGCUUGUACACACCGCCCGUCAAGUCAUGAAAGUUGGUAACACCCGAAGCCGGUGGCCUAACCGUUGUGGGGGAGCCGUCGAAGGU